AUGGCCGCCUCCAUGGCCCGGGGAGGCGUGAGUGCCAGGGUUCUACUGCAGGCUGCCAGGGGCACCUGGUGGAACAGACCUGGGGGCACUUCCGGGUCGGGGGAGGGGGUGGCGCUGGGGACAACCAGAAAGUUUCAAGCGACAGGCUCGCGCCCGGCUGGAGAGGAGGACGCGGGCGGCCCGGAGCGGCCCGGGGACGUGUGAGUGCAGGGGGCCAAGUCCCCCAUUCCUCAUCCCACGGAAUUCCUCUGGUCCCCAUCUUGCCCUGUAGCUUCAUCUCGAGGUCCCCCUUCUGCUUUGCCCUAUUCAGUACCUGUGCGUCAAGCCUCAAUUCCUACUUCCUAACCCUAGAUUCUACCCGGGCCCUGAGCCCAUCAUCCAGUUCGGCAUUCGCACUUCCAUCUGUCCCCAGGGUGAACGUGGUGUUCGUAGACCGCUCAGGCCAGCGGAUCCCAGUGAGUGGCAGAGUCGGGGACAAUGUUCUUCACCUGGCCCAGCGCCACGGGGUGGACCUGGAAGGGGCCUGUGAAGCCUCCCUGGCCUGCUCCACCUGCCAUGUGUAUGUGAGUGAAGACCACCUGGAUCUCCUGCCUCCUCCCGAGGAGAGGGAAGACGACAUGCUAGACAUGGCCCCCCUCCUCCAGGAGAACUCGCGGCUGGGCUGCCAGAUUGUGCUGACACCGGAGCUGGAAGGAGCGGAAUUCACCCUGCCCAAGAUCACCAGGAACUUCUACGUGGAUGGCCAUGUCCCCAAGCCCCACUGACAUGAACACCUGG
rnacentral:lncRNA from 1 species